AUGGCAAAGAAUGCGCUUUCGCCGAAAAGUCCAGAGAAAGGCGUCCAAGUAUAUUGUAUUGCUGUGCCAAGAAAGGAGCAAGUAUGGCGCGCGUGUCCUGGGAGUGAGUACAUACAUGAUAGAAUGGUCCAAAAGACCAAACCUGCACGCAUCACGGCAUCAGGGAAGCAUCUUGGAGAUGGAGGUGAGCAUACUAUUAUUCUGCGAGCGAAACGAAGCUGCUUUGUAUUUGGAACUAACUUCAUCGGUGCUCGUAGUGGAGUGUGGGGCAGGAGUAAGAUACAGUUAACGUCACCCGGAUCGGCUUCCAUUGGUUUGGGUGCUUGUUGGAAGAGCAGGUGA
rnacentral:rRNA from 1 species